rnacentral:lncRNA from 1 species
AAGAUGCUUGCUUUUGGUGAAAUUUUCAAAGAGGAACUUAAACAUGUUUUGUGCCCAAACUUUCACAGCCAGUUUUCAUUAAGUUCCAAACUCCAAAUGAAUUUUUUCCCAACAUGACUUUUGUUCCUUAUAUCAAUAGAUUUCCAACCAUUACUCACAUUAGUUUUUUGGACUUUCCAUGUGGGAGUUUCGAAGAGCUUUCUAUUUAGGUUCAUUUUUGCAUUUC